UACGGAGGGUGCAAGCGUUAAUCGGAAUUACUGGGCGUAAAGCGUGCGUAGGUGGUUUGUUAAGUCCGUUGUGAAAGCCCCGAGCUCAACUUGGGAAUUGCAGUGGAUACUGGCAAGCUGGAGUGCGGUAGAGGAAGGUGGAAUUCCCGGUGUAGCGGUGAAAUGCGCAGAUAUCGGGAGGAACACCUAUUGCGAAGGCAGCUCGCUGGGACGUUACUGACGCUGAGACGCGAAAGCGUGGGGAGCAAACAGG
rnacentral:rRNA from 1 species